CCUACGGGUGGCUGCAGUGGGGGAUAUUGGACAAUGGGGGGAACCCUGAUCCAGCGACGCCGCGUGAGUGAAGAAGUAUUUCGGUAUGUAAAGCUCUGUCAGCAGGGAAGAAAGAAAUGACGGUACCUGACCAAGAAGCACCGGCUAACUACGUGCCAGCAGCCGAGGUAAUACGUAGGGGGCAAGCGUUAUCAGGAAUUACUGGGGGUAAAGGGAGCGGAGACGGGUCAGUAAGUCUGGAGUGGAGGGCCGGGGCCCAACCCCGGGACUGCUCUGGAAAUAAUUGAACUUGAGUGCAGGAGAGGUAAGCGGAAUUCCUAGUGUAGCGGUGAAAUGCGUAGAUAUUAGGAGGAACACCAGUGGCGAAGGCGGCUUACUGGACUGUAACUGACGUUGAGGCUCGAAAGCGUGGGGAGCAAACAGGAUUAGAUACCCCUGUAGUC
rnacentral:rRNA from 1 species